CAGCCGUAAACUAUGCGCGUUAGGUGUGUCGGUAACCACGCGUUACUGAUGCGCCGAAGAGAAAUCGUGAAACGCACCACCUGGGAAGUACGGUCGCAAGGCUGAAACUUAAAGGAAUUGGCGGGGGAGCACCACAACAGGUGGAGCCUGCGGUUUAAUUGGAUUCAACGCCGGACAUCUCACCGGAUAAGACAGCUGAAUGAUUGUCAAUCUGAAGGUUUUACAUGACUAGCUGAGAGGUGGUGCAUGGC
rnacentral:rRNA from 1 species